rnacentral:rRNA from 1 species
ACGGGAGGCAGCAGUAGGGAAUAUUGCACAAUGGGGGGAACCCUGAUGCAGCAACGCCACGUGUGGGAAGAAGCAUUUCGGUGUGUAAACCACUGUCGUGAGGGAAUAAUGCUUGAUUUCGGUCAAGUUGAAUGUACCUCGAAAGGAAGCACCGGCAAACUUCGUGCCAGCAGCCGUGGUAAUACGAGGGGUGCAAGCGUUGUUCGGAAUCGCUGGGCGUAAAGGGGGCGUAGGCGGAGACGCAAGCAGUCUGUACAAUACCGGGGCCCAACCCCGGACCUGCAGACUGGACUGUGUCUCUUGGAUAGUUCAGGGGCAGGCGGAAUUCCUGGUGUAGCGGUGGAAUGCGUAGAGAUCAGGAAGAACACCGAUGGCGAAGGCAGCCAGCUGGGGACUUAUCGACGCUGAGGCUCGAAAGUGCGGGUAGCAAACAGGAUUAGAUACCCUGGUA